UUCAUUGGGAUGACAUCGAUAUGCAUUCUCUCCGUGAUUCAAAGGUGUGUGAGCUCGAUUUCAAGCCAGAACACUUAAGGACGACUACCAAGUACACCGGUCCAAGAGCCGGCAGGACAGAAGUAACUCCCACGGGGGCUACUCGGCUGACUCUGGACCUCUGGACGCAGUGCCGACAAUUUUUCUCUGUUAACCAAAUGAAUAGGAA
rnacentral:lncRNA from 1 species